rnacentral:lncRNA from 1 species
GUCCUGCAAUUAAUGUGGUUAAAAUCAGUCAAAGGUUCAAACCGAGUAAACUACCAUGUCAUUUGCUUAUGUGUCAAUAUCAAAUAUGAAACCUCGUCAGCUCGCACUGUCGCGUGCUGAUAUAAUACAGGUUCAAAUAAUAAACAUCGUUUAUAAUCCUGCCAUGUGUUGAUAUAUCACAGGCUUAAGUAAGAAAACUCGUCCCUAACCCUGUCGUGUGUUAAUACAGUACGGUCUCAAAUAAGAAACUUCGUCGCUAAUCU